UCGUUUAAAACGAAGUGACGGCGCAGGUUAGCACGGGUCAAUGCAAGGGCAGUAGCGCAAGGCGUCGUGGGUGGGCAUGGAUGGGCUUCAAAACAGAUGAAAGUAGGCGGCAAACUUUCCGGAAGGGAGCAAUGGGAGACUUGGCUCGCCAGCCUCGACCAGGCACGGCGGACCGCACAAGCCAGUGGAGUUCUGGGCUAGGGGCUCCACCCCCUCGCUUUCCACACCUUUUUUUUUUCUUUUUUACUAAACCUUUUUAUAUAUAUUUCUUCAAAUUACAGCCCAGAGAAGGCUUCCUAAGAAUGGCAUAUGCGAAUCUCGAAGGCCAUCUUUUUACUGCCCGCAUGCGGCGGAAGCUCCUGGAAAUCGAAAAUACGUCAUAGAAUUUCUUUCUGCGCUAAAGUAUAGCGGAUAAUAUAAACUGUGCGAUGGUUGUUUAUGCAUUGCAACAUCUAUAUGUAGUUGGGCGCAACAAGGCACAAAGCGAGUGUGUGCUGGUUAUUAUUUUAAUCCACGCGAAGGCCAACCAAACUCCCAAUUUCACAGGUGGCGCCACCCACCGCCCCGUUUCAAAGUGGUUGCUCAUAGUAUCCAUCCGCCAAUCUUGUUCCCUUGUUUACAUGUGCUGUCGGUCGUACGAGUUGCUACGAUGUGUUUGUUUGAUCGUGUUUUUGCGUUUGCUGUAAUGAAUUGUGACUUAGUUCGCGUGCACAAAAGUGUCAGAAGAUAGCUUGUGUCUCGCUGCAAACUCGCGGUAUGCGUGGUGCGCCAGGCAAACGUGGACCAACGAUUUUCAUGCCAUGGAGUGCGUUCCCUUUGUCCGUGGUGAUUGUGGAAAGUUCGGUGGACGCCGCAAAGAAAUGAUGCGCAUUAUUAGCGUUCCGCAGGUCGUCCACUACGCAACUGCGUGUAUGCGGGAAUAACUUUGCAGCUCCGGCAACUUGGAGGGCGCUUUUCGACCGCAUCGUACGUACCAUUUAAAAGUGGCGAGGCCGUGACCAACAACAGUGUCCACGUCGGGGAGGAGCUAUGGCUGCAGCAGCACGGUGUGUAAUCGGAUGGUCUGGUCAGGUACAGAUUGGUGUGGGAUUUGUGAUGCCACUCAACAAGUGGCAUUACAUAUUCAAGUCUCCUUCCGACAGAAUGUGCACAUUAGAGUUGGCAUGGAACCUGUGGACACCACUGCAAGCAGAUGAAAGUAGCCUGACUGGACAGACCUGCCGGACAAUGUGCCACGCAUCCAGGAAGCUUCCGGCAACACCGGAGAAAGUUGCUGCUUUGCAGAGCCGCCUGGAGAAAUACAUAAGUGACCAUCCAAUGGGGCCACCAGCACCACCUCCGGAAAACCACCUUGCUUCUCUGCGGAAGCACCUUCGAAGCUUUAUUUUACAGAAGCAUAUCGCCGGGGCAAGCAAGUGCAAAAGUAAAUACAGUAUAAGUCCAAUGACGCUUUUUCAAUAAAGUGUGAUGAUAUGCUACAUA